AUUGAACGCUGGCGGCAUGCCUUACACAUGCAAGUCGAACGGCAGCACGGGAGCAAUCCUGGUGGCGAGUGGCGAACGGGUGAGUAAUAUAUCGGAACGUGCCCGGUCGUGGGGGAUAACGUAGCGAAAGCUACGCUAAUACCGCAUACGAUCUACGGAUGAAAGCGGGGGAUCGCAAGACCUCGCGCGAUUGGAGCGGCCGAUAUCAGAUUAGGUAGUUGGUGAGGUAAAGGCUCACCAAGCCGACGAUCUGUAGCUGGUCUGAGAGGACGACCAGCCACACUGGGACUGAGACACGGCCCAGACUCCUACGGGAGGCAGCAGUGGGGAAUUUUGGACAAUGGGGGAACCCUGAUCCAGCAAUGCCGCGUGAGUGAAGAAGGCCUCGGUU
rnacentral:rRNA from 1 species